GCUUUAUAGUUUGUUGAAAUGUACUUUAUAGGCUGAGAAACUGAGAGAGAGAAAUAUACAAAUAGAGAGAGAGAGAGAGAGAGAGAGAGAGAGAGAGAGAGAGAGAGAGAGAGAGAGAGAGAGAGAGAGAGAGAGAGAGAGAGAGCUACAAAAAGGAGAAAAUGGGAAAAGAUAUGAACAGAGCAACAUGUAGUGGGCGGGACUUGAGUGUUGAAAAGGUUUGUGGGCUAGAUUUUUCUCUGUGACGUCACUUUUACACAGUUUACUUGAAUAGCACCUGUGUGCAUGGGGGCUGUCUGUCUGUCGGUUCUGAGAAAAAAUAUAACCCAUGCCAGCAAAAACAUAUCUAUCAGUGUUCUCCACUGGCCAUUGGAGACAGACUGUGUUCUUUUUCCCCUCAGAGGCCAACAUCCACUGUGUUGUCUUUAACCGCUGGGUGUUAGAGAUUGCCCUCAACCCCUCUAUUUUCUCAACCCCAAACCUUUUUAGCAUCUUUUUUACGUGAGCCAACGAAAAAGAUAUGUUGUUUUUUUUUAAAUAUUAUUUUUGUGAAUUCAAGUGAGUUUGUUUUUUUUAAUUUUUUUUACAAAGACUCCGCUUUCUCUUUGUGCAGUGAAAAUUGCUCUUUUUUGUGCGCCUUCAAUCAACGCCCUUGUGGAUGACCCCAGGUGCCUAAUUCAGAAACGCGUGCAGGGUUGUCACCGGCUGUACCGAACCUCGGAUCACACAGUUUGUCCUGGCAGAUAACCCCGACGACGACCCCUGGCCCUGUCAAGCCUCUCUAUCCAUCCCUCGGCCUCGUCCUUCCUCCAGAACAAACUGAACCCUCCACAAGCUCACACACAACUGUUGCUUCCAUGUUUCAAGGGUUGGUGGUCAUUUCUUUUCUGUCCCUUCUGUGUGGAUGAGAUGGCAGCAUGCAGAAAGAAGUGGAAUUUGACUGAUGACUUAAAGACAGAGGAGUAUGAUAGACAAACACCAGUGAAGUGUUUGGGGCAGAAUGAAAAAGUGAGCGUUAUCACUGAUGGAUCGGAUCAGCAUCGAGCUUUAAUUAGCGGUGGAAAGAGCCUUGGUCUGGACUAUCACCUGCUUGAAGAGUUUGUCCAACAUGUCGGACAGAGACUUGACCUCAGUCUGGAAGUUCUCCAUGAUUGUGGCGAUGGCGGGCUUCACCUGCUCCUGCAGGUUGGUGGCCUCGGCCUGGGCCUUGUCAACCAGAUGCUUGAUCUGUUCUCUAAGUCGUGCAGAAAGUAGAGGAAGCGACAAUCUUCUGUAAAUCACUGCUGCUGACUCUGACUUGUAUUUAAUAAAGAAAAAAAAGGAACUAAAACUGCCUGAAAAUGUAUUAGUGUGACUCUUAAGGAAAGUCUUUUGAGAAAACAGCUGUGAUUGACUACUAAUGGCUUCAAGCAGAGUGUAUUAUUUAUGCACAUGUAUUCAGUCCAGGUAUAUGUCACGAUAAUGUGGGGUUUUAUCUCAAAAACAACCCAUUUACUAUCCAAACUUCAAUAUAACCUUUUCAUCUUGAUAAUUAACUGAAAGUGAUAUAUUAAAAUAAAAAUAAUUUCAAAUAAAUAAACGUGUACGGUAUUUAUUGGUAUGUAGCU
rnacentral:lncRNA from 1 species